rnacentral:rRNA from 1 species
AUUGAACGCUGGCGGCAGGCCUAACACAUGCAAGUCGAGCGGAUGAAGGGAGCUUGCUCCUGGAUUCAGCGGCGGACAGGUGAGUAAUGCCUAGGAAUCUGCCUGGUAGUGGGGGAUAACGUCCGGAAACGGGCGCUAAUACCGCAUACGUCCUGAGGGAGAAAGUGGGGGAUCUUCGGACCUCACGCUAUCAGAUGAGCCUAGGUCGGAUUAGCUAGUUGGUGGGGUAAAGGCCUACCAAGGCGACGAUCCGUAACUGGUCUGAGAGGAUGAUCAGUCACACUGGAACUGAGACACGGUCCAGACUCCUACGGGAGGCAGCAGUGGGAAUAUUGGACAAUGGGCGAAAGCCUGAUCCAGCCAUGCCGCGUGUGUGAAGAAGGUCUUCGGAUUGUAAAGCACUUUAAGUUGGGAGGAAGGGCAGUAAGUUAAUACCUUGCUGUUUUGACGUUACCAACAGAAUAAGCACCGGCUAACUUCGUG